GAUAAGGAGCUUGCUCCUUUGACGUUAGCGGCGGACGGGUGAGUAACACGUGGGUAACCUACCUAUAAGACUGGGAUAACUUCGGGAAACCGGAGCUAAUACCGGAUAACAUUUGGAACCGCAUGGUUCUAAAGUGAAAGAUGGUUUUGCUAUCACUUAUAGAUGGACCCGCGCCGUAUUAGCUAGUUGGUAAGGUAACGGCUUACCAAGGCGACGAUACGUAGCCGACCUGAGGGGUGAUCGGCCACACUGGAACUGAGACACGGUCCAGACUCCUACGGGAGGCAGCAGUAGGGAAUCUUCCGCAAUGGGCGAAAGCUGACGGAGCAACGCCGCGUGAGUGAUGAAGGGUUUCGGCUCGUAAACUCUGUUAUUAGGGAAGAACAAAUGUGUAAGUAACUGUGCACAUCUUGACGGUACCUAAUCAGAAAGCCACGGCUAACUACGUGCCAGCAGCCGCGGUAAUACGUAGGUGGCAAGCGUUAUCCGGAAUUAUUGGGCGUAAAGCGCGCGUAGGCGGUUUCUUAAGUCUGAUGUGAAAGCCCACGGCUCAACCGUGGAGGGUCAUUGGAAACUGGGAAACUUGAGUGCAGAAGAGGAAAGUGGAAUUCCAUGUGUAGCGGUGAAAUGCGCAGAGAUAUGGAGGAACACCAGUGGCGAAGGCGACUUUCUGGUCUGUAACUGACGCUGAUGUGCGAAAGCGUGGGGAUCAAACAGGAUUAGAUACCCUGGUAGUCCACGCCGUAAACGAUGAGUGCUAAGUGUUAGGGGGUUUCCGCCCCUUAGUGCUGCAGCUAACGCAUUAAGCACUCCGCCUGGGGAGUACGACCGCAAGGUUGAAACUCAAAGGAAUUGACGGGGACCCGCACAAGCGGUGGAGCAUGUGGUUUAAUUCGAAGCAACGCGAAGAACCUUACCAAAUCUUGACAUCCUUUGAAAACUCUAGUAGAUAGUAGCCUUCCCCUUCGGGGGACAAAGUGACAGGUGGUGCAUGGUUGUCGUCAGCUCGUGUCGUGAGAUGUUGGGUUAAGUCCCGCAACGAGCGCAACCCUUAAGCUUAGUUGCCAUCAUUAAGUUGGGCACUCUAGGUUGACUGCCGGUGACAAACCGGAGGAAGGUGGGGAUGACGUCAAAUCAUCAUGCCCCUUAUGAUUUGGGCUACACACGUGCUACAAUGGACAAUACAAAGGGCAGCUAAACCGCGAGGUCAUGCAAAUCCCAUAAAGUUGUUCUCAGUUCGGAUUGUAGUCUGCAACUCGACUACAUGAAGCUGGAAUCGCUAGUAAUCGUAGAUCAGCAUGCUACGGUGAAUACGUUCCCGGGUCUUGUACACACCGCCCGUCACACCACGAGAGUUUGUAACACCCGAAGCCGG
rnacentral:rRNA from 2 species